rnacentral:rRNA from 1 species
GAUGAACGCUAGCGGCAGGCUUAAUACAUGCAAGUCAAGGGGGUAGCAAUACAACCGGCGCACGGGUGAGUAACGCGUACACAACAUACCAUAUACUGGGGUAUAGCUUUGGGAAACUGAAGGUAAUCCCCAUAACAUUGCGAGAGGGCAUCUGAUUGCAAUUAAAGUUUCGGCGGUAUAUGAUUGGUGUGCGUUUGAUUAGCUAGUUGGUAGGGUAACGGCCUGCCAAGGCGACGAUCAAUAGCUGGCGUGAGAGCGCGACCAGCCACACUGGAACUGAGACACGGUCCAGACUCCUACGGGAGGCAGCAGUAGGGAAUAUUGGACAAUGGAGGAAACUCUGAUCCAGCCAUGCCGCGUGAUAGAUGAAGGCCCUCUGGGUUGUAAAUAUCUUUUAUCUGGGAAGAAACAAUCUUAUUCUUAAGAUCUUGACGGUACCAGAGGAAUAAGCACCGGCUAAACUCCGUGCCAGCAGCCGCGGUAU